AGAGUUUGGAAUCCUGGCUCAGGACGAACGUUGGCGGUGCGCUUAAUGCACGCAAGUCGAGGGAGAACCUUUCGAUCCGUAAGGACCGAAUGGGGAAACCGGCGAACGGGUGCGUAACACGUGAGGAACCUGCCCCGAAGACCGGGAUAGCCCGAGGAAACUCGGAUUAAUACCGGAUACCCUCUUUGGACCACAUGGUCUGUUGAGGAAAUGGUCCGCCGCUUCGGGAUGGCCUCGCGGCCUAUCAGCUUGUUGGUGAGGUAACGGCUCACCAAGGCAAAGACGGGUAGCUGGUCUGAGAGGACGAUCAGCCACACUGGGACUGAGACACGGCCCAGACUCCUACGGGAGGCAGCAGCAGGGAAUAUUGCACAAUGGGCGAAAGCCUGAUGCAGCGACACCGCGUGCGGGAUGAAGGCCCUCGGGUUGUAAACCGCUUUCAGGAGGGACGAAAAUGACGGUACCUCCAGAAGAAGGCCCGGCCAACUACGUGCCAGCAGCCGCGGUAAUACGUAGGGGCCAAACGUUGUCCGGAUUUAUUGGGCGUAAAGGGCUCGUAGGCGGUUCAACAAGUCGAUCGUGAAAGCCCGGGGCUCAACCCCGGGACGCCGGUCGAAACUGUUGUGACUAGGGUCCGGUAGAGGUGAGUGGAAUUCUCGGUGUAGCGGUGGAAUGCGCAGAUAUCGAGAGGAACACCAG
rnacentral:rRNA from 1 species